GAACGCUAGCGGCAGGCUUAACACAUGCAAGUCGAGGGGCAGCGGGAUGUAGCAAUACAUUGCCGGCGACCGGCGGAUGGGUGCGUAACGCGUAUGCAACCUACCUUAUACAGGGGAAUAACCUUUCGAAAGGGAGACUAACACCCCAUAGUAUUGAUUUAAGGCAUCUUAGAUUAAUUAAAUAUUUAUAGGUAUAAGAUGGGCAUGCGUAUGAUUAGCUAGUUGGUAAGGUAACGGCUUACCAAGGCGACGAUCAUUAGGGGUUCUGAGAGGAAGGUCCCCCACACUGGUACUGAGACACGGACCAGACUCCUACGGGAGGCAGCAGUGAGGAAUAUUGGUCAAUGGGCGCAAGCCUGAACCAGCCAUGCCGCGUGCAGGAAGACGGCCUUAUGGGUUGUAAACUUCUUUUAUAAGGGAAUAAAGUGAGGGACGUGUCCCUUUUUGUAUGUACCUUAUGAAUAAGGAUCGGCUAACUCCGUGCCAGCAGCGGC
rnacentral:rRNA from 1 species